AACGAUGUCGACUUGCUAGUUGUGCCCUUGAGGCUUGGCUUCCGGAGCUAACGCGUUAAGCGACCGUCUGGAGAGUACGGCCGCAAGAUAAAACUCAAAUGAAUUGACGGGGGCCCGCACAAGCGGAGGAGCAUGUGGUUUAAUUCGAUGCAACGCGAAGAACCUUACCUACUCUUGACAUCCAGAGAACUUUCCAGAGAUGGAUUGGUGCCUUCGGGAACUCUGAGACAGGGGCUGCAUGGUUGUCGUCAGCUCGUGUUGUGAAAUGUUGGGGUAAGUCCCGCAACGAGCGCAACCCUUAUCCUUUGUUGCCAGCGGUUAGGCCGGGAACUCAAAGGAGACUGCCAGUG
rnacentral:rRNA from 1 species